AUCCAACUGACAAGUCCCAAAUAGGACGAAAUGCGCGUUGUCCUGGAU
rnacentral:hammerhead_ribozyme from 1 species